rnacentral:rRNA from 1 species
CCUACGGGAGGCAGCAGUAGGGAAUAUUGGUCAAUGGGCGCAAGCCUGAACCAGCGAAGCCGCGUGAGGGAUGAAGGUCUUCUGGUUGUAAACUCCUUUUGUUAGGGAAGAUAAUCACGAUAUGUAACGCGUUACCAACGGCUACCUCCAUGCCAGCAUCCGCGGUCCUACGGCGGGUGCGAGCGUUACUCGGAAUCUCUGGGCGUAAAGAGCGCGUAGGCGGGAUAGCAAGUCAGCUGUGAAAUCCUAUGGCUUAACCAUAGAACUGCAGUUGAAACUGGUAGUCUAGAGUGGGGGAGAGGUAGGUGGAAUGCGUGGUGUAGCGGUAAAAUGCGUAGAGAUCAAGAGGAACACGCAUUGCGAAGGCGACCUGCUAGAGCAUAACUGACGCUGAGGCGCGAAAGCGUGGGGAGCAAACAGGAUUAGAUACCCCUGUAGUC